UCCUGUGGCAUAUCCAAAGAGCACCCAAAC
rnacentral:piRNA from 1 species